rnacentral:rRNA from 1 species
GGAGCCUGAUGCAGCGACGCCGCGUGAGGGAUGACGGCCUUCGGGUUGUAAACCUCUUUCAGUAGGGAAGAAGCGAGAGUGACGGUACCUGCAGAAGAAGCGCCGGCUAACUACGUGCCAGCAGCCGCGGUAAUACGUAGGGCGCAAGCGUUGUCCGGAAUUAUUGGGCGUAAAGAGCUCGUAGGCGGUUUGUCGCGUCUGCUGUGAAAGCCCGGGGCUCAACCCCGGGUCUGCAGUGGGUACGGGCAKACUAGAGUGCAGUAGGGGAGACUGGAAUUCCUGGUGUAGCGGUGAAAUGCGCAGAUAUCAGGAGGAACACCGAUGGCGAAGGCAGGUCUCUGGGCUGUUACUGACGCUGAGGAGCGAAAGCAUGGGGAGCGAACAGGAUUAGAUACCCUGGUAGUCCAUGCCGUAAACGUUGGGCACUAGGUGUGGGGGACAUUCCACGUUCUCCGCGCCGUAGCUAACGCAUUAAGUGCCCCGCCUGGGGAGUACGGCCGCAAGGCUAAAACUCA